rnacentral:rRNA from 1 species
UACGUAGGUGGCAAGCGUUGUUCGGAUUUACUGGGCGUAAAGGGCGCGUAGGCGGCGUGACAAGUCACUUGUGAAAUCUCCGGGCUUAACUCGGAACGGUCAAGUGAUACUGUCGUGCUAGAGUACAGAAGGGGCAACUGGAAUUCUCGGUGUAGCGGUGAAAUGCGUAGAUAUCGAGAGGAACACCUGCGGCGAAGGCGGGUUGCUGGGCUGAUACUGACGCUGAGGCGCGAAAGCUAGGGGAGCGAACGGG